rnacentral:rRNA from 1 species
ACGGUCCUAAGGUAGCGAAAUUCCUUGUCGGGUAAGUUCCGACCCGCACGAAAGGUGUAACGAUUUGGGCACUGUCUCAACGAGGGACCCGGUGAAAUUGAAAUACCUGUGAAGAUGCAGGUUACCCGCGACUGGACAGAAAGACCCCAUGGAGCUUUACUGUAACCUGACAUUGGGUUUUGUUGUAUUACGUACAGGAUAGGUGGGAGGCUUGGAAGGCUGGACGCUAGUCUGGCUGGAGCCGUCGUUGGGAUACCACCCUUGAUACAACGGAAUUCUAACCGAGAGAGUAACGAAAUCCGGGACAGUGUCAGGCGGGCAGUUUGACUGGGGCGGUCGCCUCCGAAAGAGUAACGGAGGCGCCCAAAGGUUCCCUCAGCGCGGCCGGAAAUCGCGCGAAGAGUGUAAAGGCAGAAGGGAGCUUGACUGCGAGUCAAACACGACGAGCAGGUACGAAAGUAGGGCUUAGUGAUCCGGUGGUACCGAGUGGAAGGGCCAUCGCUCAACGGAUAAAAGCUACCCUGGGGAUAACAGGCUAAUCUCUCCCAAGAGUCCAUAUCGACGGGGAGGUUUGGCACCUCGAUGUCGGCUCAUCACAUCCUGGGGCUGAAGUCGGUCCCAAGGGUUGGGCUGUUCGCCCAUUAAAGUGGUACGUGAGCUGGGUUCAGAACGUCGUGAGACAGUUCGGUCCCUAUCCAUCGCGGGCGCAAGAGAUUUGAAGGGGUCUGCUCCUAGUACGAGAGGACCGGAGUGGACGGACCGCUGGUGUACCAGUUAUUCCGCCAGGAGUACAGCUGGGUAGCUACGUCCGGACUGGAUAAACGCUGAAAGCAUCUAAGCGUGAAGCCAUCCUUAAGAUGAGAUCUCUCACAGAGUAAUCUGGUAAGACACCUUAAAGAAGAUGAGGUAGAUAGGCCGGGAGUGUAAGUGUAGUAAUAUAUUGAGCUGACCGGUACUAAUAUGUCGAGGGCUUGACUUC